GGGUCCGCACAAGCGGUGGAGCAUGUGGUUUAAUUCGAUGAUACGCGAGGAACCUUACCUGGGCUCGAACACUAUUAGACGAUACCUGAAAGGGUAUUUCUCUUCGGAGCUGGUAGUGAGGUGCUGCAUGGUUGUCGUCAGCUCGUGCCGUGAGUGUUGGGUUAAGUCCCGCAACGAGCGCAACCCCCUAUCUUCAGUUGCCAACAGUUAGGCUGGGGACUCUGGAGAGACUGCCUCCGUAAGGAGUGAGGAAGGAAGGGACGACGUCAAAUCAUCAUGGCCUUUAUGCCAGGGCUACACACGUGCUACAAUGGUAGGUACAGAGGGCUGCAAUACCGCAAGGUGGAGCGAAA
rnacentral:rRNA from 1 species